rnacentral:rRNA from 1 species
UACGUAGGGUGCAAGCGUUAAUCGGAAUUACUGGGCGUAAAGCGUGCGCAGGCGGUUAUGUAAGACAGGUGUGAAAUCCCCGGGCUUAACCUGGGAACUGCAUUUGUGACUGCAUAGCUAGAGUACGGUAGAGGGGGAUGGAAUUCCGCGUGUAGCAGUGAAAUGCGUAGAUAUGCGGAGGAACACCGAUGGCGAAGGCAAUCCCCUGGACCUGUACUGACGCUCAUGCACGAAAGCGUGGGGAGCAAACAGGGAUAGAUACCCCUG